CACAAUUAGGGAUAUGGGUUCUGGAGAAAUUGACGUAUUAGAGAGUGGGUUAUUAUUGCCAGAUUCAAGAACUGAAGAUGAAGAUGAUGAGAGAGUAGUUUUAUAUUCAGCUUCAUUUGCAGAAAUGGAGGAAAUUUAUGUGAAAUAUCAAACGAUUCAAUGGGUUUUAUAUUCUUUACUUUUAGUAUUAGCAUGGGGGAUUGGAUUGUUCAUGUUGAUUUAUAUACCAAUUAGAAGAUAUAUUCUUUAGAGCUGAAUUUCGUUCUAGAAUGCUUUAUAUUACACCUAAUUCCAUUGUUUAUAAGGUUGUAAAGCCAGUUGCUUUCCCAUGUUUUGGAGUGUUGAAGAAAGAAAAACACAUUUUGCUUCCUUCAAUUGUUGACAUUGUCAUUGAACAAGGUAAUGUGAUGAUACUACCUUGGUCCCAUAAAAAAUGAUACUUUUGCAGGCCAAAUUGAAAAAUGUGAAAGUAUCACUUUUUCUGGGACGGAGGGAUGACUUUAGGCCUGAGCGCUUAACUGUGGUGUUCUUUCUGCAGUUGUUUAUGUUGUUUGCGUUACAGAUAUUUGUUGUAAUGAGACAUUGUUGUUCUUGUUGCUGUGUAUUCAAUUAGAAUUGAGAAUGUAGGUGUAAGGAGGUCGUGAGUGAUGAUGUUCAUAUCCAUGGGGUUGCGAACCCAAGGGAGUUUAGAAAGGUUGUUUUAACACAUCUUGCAAACUUAAAGAGAGCGACUGUGUUGACGUCCCAUGGGUCACCAUCAAGAACUCCCAGGACUGGGAAUGUUCCUUCGUCAGGAGAACUUAUAUUGCAGAAACUGGAGGAGGUUGGAAGCUCUGUAAAGAGGGUUGAAAAUAUAAUUGAGGAGCAAAAGCAUCCCAAAUCGCAACCUGUAAAAUGAAGACACUGGAAUUUACAAUUAUUCGACCAUUAUAUGUAAAAUCGUUUAUCAAGGUGUAAAUAAAGCUUGCAUCAUGGGGUUCUGAGUCGGGUCCUAGAGUUUACAGUGCUGCUGGAGCUAGUCGUACCCCCUUCUGUGAGGGUUCCUAGUAAUUUUCCUGGUUGAACUUGUUUGUUGUUUUACAUUAUUUGCUACCGGGGUUAACAUCUAAAUACAGCUUAUUCCUGUAUCUUGAUGUUUCUCUGGGUUGUGGUAUGUUGUAGUACUUCUUAUCAAUAAUAUAAAUUUCCAGGAUAUGUUUGAUUA